rnacentral:rRNA from 1 species
AGCAGCAGCCGCGGUAAUACAGAGGGUGCAAGCGCUAAUCGGAGUUACUGGGCGUAAAGGGCGCGUAGGCGGUUAUAUAAGUGAGAUGUGAAAUCCCUGGGCUUAACCUAGGAACUGCAUCUUAUACUGUAUGGCUAGAGUAUUGUAGAGGGUAGUGGAAUUUCCGGUGUAGCGGUGAAAUGCGUAGAGAUCGGAAGGAACACCAGUGGCGAAGGCGGCUACCUGGACAAAUACUGACGCUGAGGCACGAAAGCUAGGGGAGCAAACAGGAUUAGAUACCCCUGUAGUCCCUGUCUCUUAUAC